rnacentral:misc_RNA from 1 species
AGCAACUUGGAUGUUGGAAGUCACUUCUACUGCACAAGAAAUAGCUUUGGGGGUUGAUUUUACUGAUAUUUACAGAAAUUCAGAACUGUACAGGAGAAACAAAGAAGUUAUUAAAGAAAUAAGCACUCCUGCUCCUGGUUCCAAGGACUUAUUUUUCCCUACACAGUAUUCACAGUCAUUUUUCAUCCAAUGUGUAGCUUGCUUAUGGAAGCAACAUUGGUCAUACUGGCGCAAUGAACGAUACAAUGCUACUAGAUUCAUCUACACUGGGUUUAUAGCCAUAAUCUUUGGGACAAUGUUCUGGAAGCUUGGCUCCAAAAUGAAAAAGCAACAAGAUCUUUUCAAUGCAAUGGGUUCGAUGUAUACUGCUAUUAUUUUUAUUGGGAUAAAAAAUGCAUCGACAGUGCAGCCAAUAGUGGCUGUUGAAAGAAUUGUCUUCUACAGAGAGAGAGCUGCUGGAAUG